UUUCCGGUGGUCUAGUGGCUAAGACUCUGCACUCUCAAUGCAGGGGGCCUAGGUUCGAUACCUAGUCAGGAAAA